rnacentral:rRNA from 1 species
GGAUGCGAUCAUACCAGCACUAAAGCACCGGAUCCCAUCAGAACUCCAAAGUUAAGCGUGUUUGGGCGAGAGUAGUACUAGGAUGGGUGACCUCCUGGGAAGUCCUCGUGUUGCAUUCC